rnacentral:tRNA from 1 species
GUUAGCGUAGCAAAAUCUGGCAUUGCAGAAGACCUAAGCCCUUCGCGCAGAGAUUCAAAUUCUCUCACUAACU